rnacentral:misc_RNA from 1 species
AACGCACGAGACCUGCGGACCUGCGGAGGGAUCAUUACUGAGUUUCACAACUCUCUAACCCUGUGUGAACUGAAGUCUGGUUGCUCAGGCAGGCGGCCCCCGGGGGGAGCCGCAGCUUCUCUGAAGCGCCUGCCGGAGGAUACCUAAACUCGUUUUAACAUAUAAUCUUCUGAGUAAUAAAAAAAAUGAAUCAAAACUUUUAGCAAUGGAUCUCU